UACGAAGGGGGCUAGCGUUGCUCGGAAUCACUGGGCGUAAAGCGCACGUAGGCGGCUUUUUAAGUCAGGGGUGAAAUCCUGGAGCUCAACUCCAGAACUGCCUUUUGAUACUGAGAAGCUUGAGUCCGGGAGAGGUGAGUGGAACUGCGAGUGUAGAGGUGAAAUUCGUAGAUAUUCGCAAGAACACCAGUGGCGAAGGCGGCUCACUGGCCCGGUACUGACGCUGAGAGUGCGAAAGCG
rnacentral:rRNA from 1 species